AUUGAACGCUGGCGGCAUGCUUUACACAUGCAAGUCGAACGGUAACAGGUCUUCGGAUGCUGACGAGUGGCGAACGGGUGAGUAAUACAUCGGAACGUGCCUAGUAGUGGGGGAUAACUACUCGAAAGAGUAGCUAAUACCGCAUGAGAUCUACGGAUGAAAGCAGGGGACCUUCGGGCCUUGUGCUACUAGAGCGGCUGAUGGCAGAUUAGGUAGUUGGUGGGGUAAAGGCUUACCAAGCCUGCGACCUGUAGCUGGUCUGAGAGGACGACCAGCCACACUGGGACUGAGACACGGCCCAGACUCCAACGGGAGGCAGCAGUGGGGAAUUUUGGACAAUGGGCGAAAGCCUGAUCCAGCAAUGCCGCGUGCAGGAUGAAGGCCCUCGGGUUGUAAACUGCUUUUGUACGGAACGAAAAGCCUGGGGCUAAUAUCCCCGGGUCAUGACGGUACCGUAAGAAUAAGCACCGGCUAACUACGUG
rnacentral:rRNA from 1 species